rnacentral:rRNA from 1 species
AGAAGGUCCCAAGGGUUUGGCUGUUCGCCAAUUAAAAGGGUACGUGAGCUGGGUUCAAACCGUUCUGCUCAUGAAUCAUAAAGCAUGAAUCAUGAAUAGAACCGUUUGAAUCCGAGGAGACAUCAAAAAUACACGGCGCAAGUAUAUAGGAAUAUAUGCUGUGUGAGUUAACUUAUAUCGGUAAAAUCCUUUCAGAGGACAAUACCGAGGGAAGAACAAGAUAAUGAUGGUAUCCGAUGUGGGAGGAAAAGAUGAAGACUUGGAAGCAGGCGUUCUCUGAGCUUUUGCCAGGCGAAUGUCGCCUCGAGCAAUGCGAAAGGCUAGAGAGAGAAGUCGCAGAGGGCAAGGUGGAGCUCCCGCCCCCCUCUCCCGACGACUUGGCAAUCGCAGUGCGAGUGGAUCGCAUUGUGCGAAAAGUGGCCCCGAAGGGUGACCACAGUCCAUUCUGGCAGUUCUGAGUCGCUGGGCGAGUCGAACCACUCGCCCCCACAUCGGAUAUCAUCAUUGAAACAAGUUCGCCCGUAGAGACUGAAUGUUAACCAUCCAGAACGGAUGAAGUUACAGUCCAAUGCACGCAGUAAUGCGUGGAUGACAUGCGUGAGACAGGUUGGUCCAUAUCUGGUGUGGGCGUUCAUACUUGAGGGGGGUUGCUCCUAGUACGAGAGGACCGGAGUGAAUAGACCGCUGGUGUAUCAGCUGUCCCGCCAGGGGCAGUGCUGAGUAGCUAUGUCUAGUUCCGAUAAGCGCUGAAAGCAUAUAAGCGCGAAACGGGCCCCAAGAUGAGGUAUGAGGAUUCCUUGAAGAUUACAAGGUUGAUAGGGCUCAGGUGUAAGCACGGUAACGUGCCAGCCGAGAGCUACUAAUAUAAUCCGAUCUAAUUAA